rnacentral:rRNA from 1 species
GAUGAACGCUGGCGGCGUGCCUAAUACAUGCGAGUCGAGCGAACGGACGAGAAGCUUGCUUCUCUGAUGUUAGCGGCGGACGGGUGAGUAACACGUGGAUAACCUACCUAUAAGACUGGGAUAACUUCGGGAAACCGGAGCUAAUACCGGAUAAUAUUUUGAACCGCAUGGUUCAAAAGUGAAAGACGGUCUUGCUGUCACUUAUAGAUGGAUCCGCGCUGCAUUAGCUAGUUGGUAAGGUAACGGCUUACCAAGGCAACGAUGCAUAGCCGACCUGAGAGGGUGAUCGGCCACACUGGAACUGAGACACGGUCCAGACUCCUACGGGAGGCAGCAGUAGGGAAUCUUCCGCAAUGGGCGAAAGCCUGACGGAGCAACGCCGCGUGAGUGAUGAAGGUCUUCGGAUCGUAAAACUCUGUUAUUAGGGAAGAACAUAUGUGUAAGUAACUGUGCACAUCUUGACGGUACCUGAUCAGAAAGCCACGGCUAACUACGUG